UACAGAGGGUGCGAGCGUUAAUCGGAAUUACUGGGCGUAAAGCGCGCGUAGGCGGCUUUGCAAGUCGGGUGUGAAAUCCCCAGGCUUAACCUGGGAACUGCAUUCGAGACUGCAUUGCUAGAGUAUGGGAGAGGGAAGUGGAAUUUCCGGUGUAGCGGUGAAAUGCGUAGAUAUCGGAAGGAACAUCAGUGGCGAAAGCGGCCUUCUGGACAGUGACUGACGCUGAGACGCGAAAGCGUGGGGAGCAAACAGG
rnacentral:rRNA from 1 species